rnacentral:rRNA from 1 species
CCUACGGGUGGCAGCAGUGAGGAAUAUUGGUCAAUGGGCGGGAGCCUGAACCAGCCAAGUCGCGUGAGGGAAUACGGUCCUAUGGAUUGUAAACCUCUUUAUGCGGGGAGCAAUGCCGGGCACGCGUGCCCGUAGGGAGAGUACCCGCAGAAUCAGCCUCGGCUAACUCCGUGCCAGCAGCCGCGGUAAUACGGGGGAUGCGAGCGUUAUCCGCAUUUAUUGGGUUUAAAGGGUGCGCAGGCGGAAUGUCAAGUCAGCGGUAAAAUUUCGGGGCUAAACCCCGUCGUGCCGUUGAAACUGGCGUUCUUGAGUGAGCGAGAAGUAUGCGGAAUGCGUGGUGUAGCGGUGAAAUGCAUAGAUAUCACGCAGAACUCCGAGUGCGAAGGCAGCAUACCGGCGCUCAACUGACGCUCAUGCACGAAAGCGUGGGUAUCGAACAGGAUUAGAUACCCCUGUAGUC